rnacentral:rRNA from 1 species
CCCAAUGCACGAAAGUGUGACGGGGCAAUGCCGCGUGUGGGAUGAAGCCCCUCGGGGUGUAAACCACUGUCAGGGUCUAGGAACACAAUGACCAUACCCAAAGGAAGCACCGGCUAACUCUGUGCCAGCAGCCGCGGUAAUACAGAGGGUGCGAGCGUUAAUCGGAAUCACUGGGCUUAAAGGGUCCGUAGGCGGGACUGCAGGCGUCGAGUGAAAUACCACGGCUCAACCGUGGAACUGCUCGGCGAACCGCAGUUCUUGAGGCGAGUAAAGGCGAUCAGAACGAUAGGUGGAGCGGUGAAAUGCGUAGAUAUCUAUCGGAAUGCCAAAGGUGAAAACAGGUCGCUGGGCUCGUCCUGACGCUGAGGGACGAAAGCGUGGGGAGCAAACGGGAUUAGAUNCCCCGGUAGUCCACGCCGUAAACAAUGCGCACUGGGUCGGNGGGGUUUGACGCCUUUCUGGCCGAAGCAAAAGUGUUAAAUGCGCCGCCUGGGGAGUACG